AUUAUCUUUGGUUGCUCAGUUGUGAAUCCAGGUGACAAUCAGGACGAACGAUUCCUGCCCUGCUUGAGUCCUGCCCUGCCUUGGCUCCCCUCAAUAAUGGACUGUAAUCUGGAAGUAUGAGAGAACAUAAAUUCAUUCCUCUUCAAAUUGUUUCUGGCCACGGUGUUUAUCACAGCAAAGCAGGACAGCUUAUGACGUCUGGCUAUCUGAUACUCGGAAUCGCUGUCAGCAAAGGCCUUGCCUCCGGAGAAAAUAAACAGAGACAAUGUCCCAUGAGCUCAUCUCACAGACCAUCUUCAAAGCUGAGUGGCCAGACUCAAGGAACAUCUCUCUCUGACAGACCAUCUCAAGACACAUAGGAAUGGUUGAAAUCCCUAAACAAGAUGAGAAGAAAAGCUCUCUUCAUCUGAGCAGUGGGCGUUUGUCCUGCGAGGACGGUUCUUCCUGGAAUUCAAGAUGACACAAGUUAUGGACAGUAACUUACCACGGUGCCUUCCGCCAAAGUAAAGGAGCCAGACGCCAAAGGAAGGCGAAGAUGCCAGACUUUCAUCUGGCUUUUAAGUAGUUACAGGCCAAAGUCAAGAGUCCGUGCUUCUUACGAAAUGCGGUUUCUGGGUGCCCGCCCCUCCACAUCUCAUACACCCCACAAUUUAGGACAGAU